rnacentral:rRNA from 1 species
CCUACGGGAGGCUGCAGUGGGGAAUAUUGCACAAUGGGGGGAACCCUGAUGCAGCGACGCCGCGUGAGGGAAGAAGUAUUUCGGUUUGUAAAGUUCUAUCAGGAGGGAAGAAAAUGACGGUAUCCGUCUUGAAUACGCCGGCUAACUAUGUGCCAGCAGCCGCGGUAAUACGCAGGGGGCAAGCGUUAUCCGGAUUUACUGGGUGUAAAGGGGGCGUAGACGGCGGGGCAAGUCUGAGGUGAAAGCCCGCGGCCCAACCGCGGGACUGCAUUUGAAACUGUGCGGCUAGAGUGCUGGAGAGGCAGGCGGAAUUCCUAGUGUAGCGGUGAAAUGCGUAGAUAUUAGGAGGAACACCAGUGGCGAAGGCGGCUUACUGGACAGCAACUGACGGUGAGGCGCGAAAGCGUGGGGAGCAAACAGGAUUAGAUACCCUGGUAGUC